rnacentral:rRNA from 1 species
GAUGAACGCUGGCGGCGUGCCUAAUACAUGCAAGUCGAGCGAACAGACGAGGAGCUUGCUCCUCUGACGUUAGCGGCGGACGGGUGAGUAACACGUGGAUAACCUACCUAUAAGACUGGGAUAACUUCGGGAAACCGGAGCUAAUACCGGAUAAUAUAUUGAACCGCAUGGUUCAAUAGUGAAAGACGGUUUUGCUGUCACUUAUAGAUGGAUCCGCGCCGCAUUAGCUAGUUGGUAAGGUAACGGCUUACCAAGGCGACGAUGCGUAGCCGACCUGAGAGCGUGAGGGGCCACACGGGGAUAGACACCCGGACCAACCCCAACCGGGAGGCAGAGGUGUGGAGUGUUCGACAAAGGGCUAAGGACUAAAGAACAAUGUCGGCGGGAUAGAUAAAGUUUUUAGGUAAUUAAAAACCUUUUAUUGGGAAAGAACAAAUGUGCAAGUAACUAUGCAGGUCUUGACGGUACGUAAUCAGAAGGCCACGGCUAUCUCCGUG